UGUGAUGUGGUCUCAGUCCUAUCCGAAGAUCGGUCUAUGAGCUCGGAGCUCGCUCCGUAAUGGGGAAGACUGGCUGGCUGACCAUCAGGCGACCGAGGUGAAUUAUACACACACACACAUCCGCAUGUAUUUUGGCUGAGAGUGACUAGAUGAAAUGAAGAACAAAAGAUAAUAACAUCGCGUCCAGCCUGUGUCACCACACCCUGACAGUUUCAAUGCGACUGAUUACAAUAGCGGGCGACGCCCAUUAUUGUAAUCAGUCGCCAACAUAAGCAACGCCCACUGGGCGUUGCUUAUGCUGGCUGUGCCCGGUAGUUGCCAGUUUGUCGGCAGAUGAAGCAAUUCAGUGAACGACUCAACACGCCUAUAGAUGUGUUGGGCAGUGUAAGGGUUAAGUCGUUAAGGUGUUUGUCUAUAAGCGCGGGCACCUUUAAGUUAUGGUUCGUUUACCUUUACCACAUUGAAAGAGCUGUGGAAAUCCAUCACUUCUCAAGGUUUACAGCAUUGCCACACGAGAACUGCAAUAUUUGGUCGUUUGACUGCCAACCCGACGCGACUCCCGCACCAGCCCGCCCCCCCCCCACCACCACCACCACGCCCGCCCCCCACCCCGAGUGUCCUCGGAGGGUUCUCUGUCUGGAGGGGCGCCGCUGUCACGCCCUCUGCCGCUGGUGAUGCAUUGGUGGUGAAGAGACAGACAGACAAACAGACAGACAGAUUUAAAGGUGUUGCUUCACUAAAGAAAGAAAAAAGAGAGAAAUUAGAGAAACAACAAAUUAGUGAAUAGAGAAGAAGAAGAAGAAGAAGAAGAAGAAGAAGAAGAAGAAGAAGAAGAAGAAGAAAACGGAUAAAAAUAAAAGAAAAUAUAGAAAAAAAAACAAGAAAUAUUGAAAGACACACAGAGAGAGAGAGAGAGA